rnacentral:lncRNA from 1 species
AUGCCCCGAGGAAAUGCGGCUCGCCGGGGACCGGCGCCCGGCGGAACGACAGCCAGGACUACCUGCUGCUGGACGCGGAGCCGGGCGACGACAGCGCCCUGCCGCCCUACGCCUUCUACCCGCUGCGAAGAAACAGCCGCGGCGAGCGCCCCUCCGACCGGCCGCAGCCCCCCCCCCCGGUGCCCGCUCUGCUGGGAGAGGGACCCCAGCGCCCUGAGGAGGAGUAGGAGGAGGAGGAGGAUGGCGAUGAGGAGGGCUGCCGUUUGCUGCCGUUUGCUGCCGAGCCCGCGUCGCUCCUCGUUAAAAUUAACGCUGUGUCUGGUUAGGUUUCCUACCGGAUUGUUUUGUGCUUUGAAGCUGCUAGAAAUACAGUAGGCUUAUGCUGAAACUGGUACAAGACCAGAAAAUUACCUCUCAAAGGUAAGCUGAGCUACAGACGUUCAUUUUUUGGUGAAGACUUACAUGAUUUGUUGGUUUUAGUUGCUAGGCUCUUGUGUAUUCACUGCAUAUGUUCACUAAUGUAGCAGCAAACUUCCUUUGGUCAGCUGCAUUACCUGAGCAAUGUCCUGUGGUAAGACUGUAUAACCCAUUUUGCUUGACCUGUAGUGAUAUUUCUGUAGCCUUAUUCAUACACAUUCUUAAGAAAAAGGGUAGAUCUGCAGGUCACUCUGAUGCAGUUACUGAAAAAAAUGAGUUACCUCCCUGUGGGGCCUAAUUUUAUAAAACUGGAAGCUUUCCAUUUAAAUCCAAGUCAUUUGUUGGAUUUGCAUGGUGAAGGUGGAGUAGUGAUAAAGAAAUGUGUGGGAUACGUACAGCAUACUUUUCAUUGCAAAUGUUAAUAACAAGUGUGCUCUUUGUCAAACACCCUCCCAACAGCAUUUGCCACUGCGGAAGCUGUGGGUUAUAAUAACUGGCUAUUUGAAGAAUUCCCACAAAAUGUCAAUAUCCCCAAGUAACAAUGAAUUGGCAUGAUGGGUCUACCUCAUCAGGCUAUGUUUAGGCAUUCGAACUCAGCAAACAUGAUUAAAAGAAAAUUUUGGCAGUUAAACUAUAUUCAUCAAAUUCUACUUGGUUUCUUACAUCAAACUGUGCAAGGCAAUGGCUUAGCAAAAGGCUACAAUUUGAAAGUGCAUAACAAUAGUCUUACAUGUACAUGUGCACAUGUGCACACAUACUUGUGAGUGUAGAUACGCACAUGGAGUCUUCUCAACAGGAGGCUUAAAGGAUUUGGCUUGAUAAGCUGAGUUUAAAUGUAAGUUUUGAUAAUUAAAUGUGGACAGAAAGCUUAGCGAUAAUUAAAUUACAUACAGUUUUCUCUGGAAUGGAUUAACGUUUUAAUCUUGCAGUGGAAUGGUUGUUGUUUGUUUAGCAGUGA